GAGUUUGAUCCUGGCUCAGGAUGAACGCUGGCGGCAUGCCUAAGACAUGCAAGUCGUACGAAGGGGCCCAAUGAAAGGAAUUGAAAUUCAGAGUGCUUGCACAAAGAAUGGAUUUUCUUGGAUUUGGAUUUUCCCCUUAGUGGCAAACGGGUGAGUAACACGUGGGUUACCUACCUCUAAGAUGGGGAUAACAGUUGGAAACGACUGAUAAUACCGAAUGUGCUCUACGGAGUAAAGAAGCCCUUAAAGCUUCGCUUAGAGAUGGGCCUGCGGCGUAUUAGCUAGUUGGUGGGGUAAUGGCCUACCAAGGCGACGAUGCGUAGCCGAACUGAGAGGUUGAUCGGCCACACUGGGACUGAGACACGGCCCAGACUCCUACGGGAGACAGCAGUUAGGAAUAUUCGUCAAUGGAGGAAACUCUGAACGAGCAAUGCCGCGUGAACGAUGACGGCCCUAUGGGUUGUAAAGUUCUGUUGUUUGGAAAGAACGAUAGAUAGAGGAAAUGCUAUCUAUGUGACGGUACCAUUCAAGAAAGCCACGGCUAACUACGUGCCAGCAGCCGCGGUAAUACGUAGGUGGCGAGCGUUAUCCGGAUUUAUUGGGCGUAAAGGGUGCGCAGACGGUUUAUUAAGUCUAAAAUCAAAUCUUGGGGCUCAACCCCAUUCCGUUUUAGAAACUGGUAGACUUGAGUAUGGUAGAGGCAAAUGGAAUUCCUAGUGUAGCGGUGGAAUGCGUAGAUAUUAGGAGGAACACCAGUGGCGAAGGCGAUUUGCUGGGCCAUUACUGACGUUCAGGCACGAAAGCGUGGGGAGCAAAUAGGAUUAGAUACCCUAGUAGUCCACGCCGUAAACGAUGAGUACUAAGUGUCGGGUUACCGGUGCUGAAGUUAACACAUUAAGUACUCCGCCUGAGUAGUACGGUCGCAAGGCUGAAACUCAA
rnacentral:rRNA from 1 species